UGCGGUAUUUUAACUGUACUAAGGAGCAUAAUAAUUUGCCUUAUAAUUUGAGGCUAGAAUGAAUGGUUUGACGAAGGUUAAUCUGUCUCUAUUCUAUUUUUUAGAAAUUAAUUUUUAAAGUGAAAAAGCUUGGAUUUUUUAAAGGGACGAGAAGACCCUAUUGAGCUUAUAAUUUUAUUUUUAUUUUUAGUAUUAAUGAGUAAAAUAUAAAUUUUAAUUGGGGUGAUUAAGGAAUAAAAAUAGUAUGUAACUUCCUUAUAUUUAAUAUUGUUAGAUUAAGUAACCAAUAUAGUUAUUGCUUAUAAUAUAGUUACCAUAGGGAUAACAGCGUAAUUUGUUUAGAGAGUUCUUAUUGAAAAACAAGAUUGCGACCUCGAUGUUGGAUUAAAGUAACCUUAAGGUGCA
rnacentral:rRNA from 1 species